UGGAGGGCAAGUCUGGUGCCAGCAGCCGCGGUAAUUCCAGCUCCAAUAGCGUAUAUUAAAGUUGUUGCAGUUAAAAAGCUCGUAGUUGAACUUCGGGUUUCACCCAUUGGUCAGGCUUAAUUGUCUGUACUGGUGAGAUGAAUCUCUACCUUCUGAGGAACUUUCAUGUCAUUAAUUUGGUGUGAUUGGAAAUCAGGACUGUUACUUUGAAAAAAUUAGAGUGUUUAA
rnacentral:rRNA from 1 species